UGGAACCUGGCUGUCCAGGUGUUGAAGGGUAGAGAUAGACCCAGGAUGACCAAUGACAGGAAACCCAUCUGGUUGUUUAAAUACGGUGCUAGGCAACUGGCAGUCACCCAGGCAACCGACGGGGUUGGGGAAGUCCAGCAAGAGGUGACAGCGGGUCCUGAUGACAGGACUGACUUGCCCUCCGAGGCAGGCCACGGAAGCAGGCACUAUUCAAAGAUCCAGGCAGGUGGUCGGCGUUGGGGACGUCUGUCAGCUGCAGGGAUGAGAUGCCAGGCCUUGGGCAGAGCAAGAGCAAGACAGCCUUCCGGGACCAGGGCAACUGGAGCCCGUGGAUGUUGUCAAGAAGGGUCUCAUGAUGUUGUUCAAGCUGAUCUCACACGUCUGGGCUCAAGUGAUCCUCCUGCCCCGGCCUCCUAAAGUGAUCCUCCUGCCUCGGCCUCCUAAAGUGAUCCUCCUGCCCCGGCCUCCUAAAGUGAUCCUCCUGCCUCAGCCUCCUAAAGUGCUAGGAUUAUAGGCAAGAGCCACCAUGCCCAGCUCAAAGGUUGAGCACCUUGUGUGCCAGGUGCCACUCAGGGUGCUGGGGACAGAGCAAUAACCAAGACAAAGUUCCGUUUUUCAGGGAAUGUAAAUGCCGGAAGAUGGAGACAGUUGAAUACACAAGUGAGCAAGAUUUAACAAGGCUCAGAUAAUGCCGUGAAGUAAACAAAAUACAGCUUUAUGAUAUCCUUUUAGAUUCAACAAAUCAGAAACAAGACAACCAUAUGUAGGAGAGUUGCAGUUGGUGACUAUGGAGAUUUUUCACAGCUGUCCACAGAGCCACCUGGCAGAUGAAUUAGGAGCAACCAGGCCCACAGGCAAGGCAUGGACUAAGAGAUAUCAGAAUUUUCAUCUUGUCUGAAGAGUUUUAAAAUUAAUAGAAAUCCUAGUUAAGAUUUAUACUGUAAGAAGACCCAGGGAGAAAGAGAGAGACAGGGAGUGAAUAAAAACUCAUUUUCAUGGGUUGGAUCUAAAUGUCCAUCAACCUUCAUAUGGAUGAGGGAUGGAUUGGGGCAGGGAGCAGGAGGGAAGCUGAGAUCAUUCACCUACAAGGGUGGUUUCUACAUCGGUGCGCGCUCUUCAACGUGGGUUCUUCACAUUCCAGCCCCAGGUGGGUCCUUCCAGAUGUGCAUCCAGGACACGAUAGGCUGAAAUGGUGGGAGAAUUAUGGAGAAAGGGUGGCUGUGGAGUCAAACGCCGUAUUUAAAAUAGGAUUCUGUUAAAUCCCAGCUAACUGUCCGCCAAUUGGUGGAAGAAUUCCUGGAAAUCGGUGUUCACAGCAGGAGGAGGAGAGAUUUUUUUUCUGGGCUGCUUAUAAGAAAUCAAUGGAAACAAUAAACAUGUGUCCUAACAUAUCCCAUAUGUUAGGAAAUAAGAUUUUCUGCUGUGGGAAUAUCUGCUGGCUUA
rnacentral:lncRNA from 1 species